rnacentral:rRNA from 1 species
AUGGCUCUUUGAAAACUCAACAUGAAGAGUCCCGCCUGCCCAGUGAAAUUUUAUUUAACGGCCGCGGUACUCUGACCGUGCGAAGGUAGCAUAAUCAUUUGUCUUAUAAUUGAAGUCUGGAAUGAAUGGUUUCACAAGAGUAAAUCUGUCUCUUUUUUUUUUAUUAAAACUUUAUGACUAAGUUAAAAAGCUUAGAUAGAAUUAAAAGACGAGAAGACCCUAUCGAGCUUAAGGAAAUUUUUAAAAUUCUUAACAUAGAUGGAAAUAGAUUAUUUAAGAAAACUUUGGUUGGGGCGACCUAAGAACAUAUAAAGCUUCUUUAUUUUUAAGUAUAUUUAUAGAUUUGGACCCACUUUUAGUGAUUAAAAGAAUUAGUUACCGUAGGGAUAACAGCAUAAUCUUUUUUGAGAGUUCAAAUCGAAAAGGAGGUUUGUGACCUCGAUGUUGGACCAAGAUAACCUAAAGGCGCAAAAGUCUUUGAAGGUUGGUCUGUUCGACCAUUAAAAUCUUACGUGAUCUGAGUUCAAACCGG